AUUGGAAGUUGUGCAUAAGUAUUACUGGUAUAGAAAGACAUUCUGUGUCAGUAGACAGACUUCCUACAUAGAACUGAGGAUUCCUGGGAGUUUCAGUGAGACAUGCUGGAGUUCUUCGUUCCCCCUCAAACAUG